rnacentral:rRNA from 1 species
UGUGUAGGCGGCUUGGAAAGUCAAAUGUGAAAACUCAGGGCUCAACCUUGAGAAUGCGUUUGAAACUUCUAAGCUAGAGUACAGGAGAGGUAAGUGGAAUUCCUAGUGUAGCGGUAAAAUGCGUAGAUAUUAGGAGGAACACCAGUGGCGAAGGCGACUUACUGGACUGAUACUGACGCUGAGGCACGAAAGCGUGGGGAGCAAACA